AUGAGCGACAUUGUGAGAGCCUCGGUCCACGUCAUCUCUCCUUUCGUUCUCUAAUUUCAAUUUCACGCAUCUCUUCUGCAAUUCUCAAACGCAACCAUCAAAUCCGACAGGAAUGCAGAAAAUUACCGCUCCUACUCUAAAUCUGCAAACCCGCUCGUCUCUUUCCACGUUUUCUUCUUCCCCAAUCCUUAAUUUUAUCACAAUUAAAAGCUACGCCGCAAUCAGAAGAAGAAAUUCGCCAAAAUAUAUUUUUUAAUGUUGAUAAUGAAUUUGGAUCUUUCAUAGUACUUCUACAUAUUUUGGUUGCUGAAAAAUUGAUUUGCUUGAUUUUGAGAUUGUGGACAAUUGUGCUCAUGAGAUAGAGGUGCCGAUAAAUCAACAGAUCCUUUGGCUUCGACUCUGCUGUUGAGGGUGUCCUCAACAAGAUGCUUCUAGAAACAGGCUUCUACAAGGUGUUGGGCUCUGGAUAUCACAAAGGAUCAAAGAUCACAUCUUGAAUUGUCUACAAUAAUGCAUAGCAAAUUGUGUGCAUAAUGAGAAAGAAGAAACAAAUGGAUUAUGUAUAGCUUCUAAAUUUUUCCAAGUUGUUUAGGAAAAUGAAACUCACUGGAAAAUAGUGCAAAUACAGAGCAUAAAUAAAAUCAUUCUUCAGUCUAAAUCGAAUUCUUAUUUGUAAUUCAUGGCUCUGAGUCUCAUUUUAAACCAACUAGCAAGACUACAAAUAGCAAUUCU